UAGAGGGAGUGGGGUAUAGUGACAGUAACAGAGGGAUUGAGGGCCUGCUCAGUGAGUUUACAUGUUAGAGGGAGUGGGGUAUAGUGACACAGUAACAGAGGGAUUGAGGGCCUGCUCAGUGAGUUUACAUGUUAGAGGGAGUGGGGUAUAGUGACAGUAACAGAGGGAUUGAGGGCCCUGCUCAGUGAGUUUACAUGUUAGAGGGAGUGGGGUAUAGUGACAGUAACAGAGGGAUUGAGGCCCUGCUCAGUGAGUUUACAUGUUAGAGGGAGUGGGGUAUAGUGACACAGUAACAGAGGGAUUGAGGGCCUGCUCAGUGAGUUUAUGCUAGAGGGAGUGGGGUAUAGUGACACAGUAACAGAGGGAUUGAGGGCCUGCUCAGUGAGUUUACAUGUUAGAGGGAGUGGGGUAUAGUGACAGUAACAGAGGGAUUGAGGGCCUGCUCAGUGAGUUUACAUGUUAGAGGGAGUGGGGUAUAGUGACACAGUAACAGAGGGAUUGAGGGCCCUGCUCAGUGAGUUUACAUGCUAGAGGGAGUGGGGUAUAGUGACACAGUAACAGAGGGAUUGAGGGCCUGCUCAGUGAGUUUACAUGUUAGAGGGAGUGGGGUAUAGUGACACAGUAACAGAGGGAUUGAGGCCCUGCUCAGUGAGUUUACAUGUUAGAGGGA